rnacentral:misc_RNA from 1 species
GGGAAUUUCAUCUGUAUGUGGAGUAGUGGCUUUGUCAGCAUAUUAUACUGAACUUAGAGCCCAUGGUCCAACACAUUGUGUUUGCUUAAACUAUUCAUAAAUAUGUGUUGUUUGGAUUAAAAACUUAAAUAUUUCAAAUUAGAAGUACGAAAAUGCCUGGGUCAGUUUGGUUUCUCAGUUUUUAAAUGUAAAACCAUGAUCACUCUGGUUAAGUAUUUUUACAACCCAAUACCAACCAACAAAUUGUUAAAUCAUUAAACUUGGUUGGUUUGGUUGUCAGAUUGAGCG